GCGCCUCGGGGCCUGCAACCGGCUCAAAUCGGGCGACAGUUUAGAGCCAGUCUUGCCUUCCGAAGGCAAAGGUCACACGUUCGAAUUGUGUCGGGCGCGCCA
rnacentral:tRNA from 1 species